UACGUAGGGUCCGAGCGUUGUCCGGAAUUAUUGGGCGUAAAGAGCUCGUAGGCGGUCUGUCGCGUCGGUCGUGAAAACUUGGGGCUUAACCCUGAGCUUGCGGUCGAUACGGGCAUGACUGGAGUUCGGCAGGGGAGACUGGAAUUCCUGGUGUAGCGGUGAAAUGCGCAGAUAUCAGGAGGAACACCGGUGGCGAAGGCGGGUCUCUGGGCCGAUACUGACGCUCAUGCACGAAAGCGUGGGGAGCAAACAGG
rnacentral:rRNA from 1 species